GAUGAACGCUGGCGGCGUGCCUAAUACAUGCAAGUCGUACGAGUUCUGAUUAUUGAAAGUGCUUGCAUCUUGAUUUAAUUUUGAACGAGUGGCGGACGGCUGAGUAACACGUGGUUAACCUGCCCUUAAGUGGGGGAUAACAUUUGUAAACAGAUGCUAAUACCGCAUAAAUCCUGGAACCGCAUGGUUCUUGGCUGAAAGAUGGCGUAAGCUAUCGCUUUUGGAUGGACCCGCGGCGUAUUAGCUAGUUGGUGAGGUAACGGCUCACCAAGGCAAUGAUACGUAGCCGAACUGAGAGGUUGAUCGGCCACAUUGGGACUGAGACACGGCCCCUCUUCUACGGGAGGCAGCAGUAGGGAAUCUUCCACAAUGGACGCAAGUCUGAUGGAGCAACGCCGCGUGAGUGAAGAAGGCUUUCGGGUCGUAAAACUCUGUUGUUGGAGAAGAAUGGUCGGCAGAGUAACUGUUGUCGGCGUGACGGUAUCCAACCAGAAAGCCACGGCUAACUACGUGCCAGCAGCCGCGGUAAUACGUAGGUGGCAAGCGUUAUCCGGAUUUAUUGGGCGUAAAGCGAGCGCAGGCGGUUUUUUAAGUCUGAUGUGAAAGCCCUCGGCUUAACCGAGGAAGUGCAUCGGAAACUGGGAAACUUGAGUGCAGAAGAGGACAGUGGAACUCCAUGUGUAGCGGUGAAAUGCGUAGAUAUAUGGAAGAACACCAGUGGCGAAGGCGGCUGUCUGGUCUGUAACUGACGCUGAGGCUCGAAAGCAUGGGUAGCGAACAGGAUUAGAUACCCUGGUAGUCCAUGCCGUAAACGAUGAAUGCUAGGUGUUGGAGGGUUUCCGCCCUUCAGUGCCGCAGCUAACGCAUUAAGCAUUCCGCCUGGGGAGUACGACCGCAAGGUUGAAACUCAAAGGAAUUGACGGGGGCCCGCACAAGCGGUGGAGCAUGUGGUUUAAUUCGAAGCAACGCGAAGAACCUUACCAGGUCUUGACAUCUUUUGAUCACCUGAGAGAUCAGGUUUCCCCUUCGGGGGCAAAAUGACAGGUGGUGCAUGGUUGUCGUCAGCUCGUGUCGUGAGAUGUUGGGUUAAGUCCCGCAACGAGCGCAACCCUUAUGACUAGUUGCCAGCAUUUAGUUGGGCACUCUAGUAAGACUGCCGGUGACAAACCGGAGGAAGGUGGGGAUGACGUCAAAUCAUCAUGCCCCUUAUGACCUGGGCUACACACGUGCUACAAUGGAUGGUACAACGAGUUGCGAGACCGCGAGGUCAAGCUAAUCUCUUAAAGCCAUUCUCAGUUCGGACUGUAGGCUGCAACUCGCCUACACGAAGUCGGAAUCGCUAGUAAUCGCGGAUCAGCACGCCGCGGUGAAUACGUUCCCGGGCCUUGUACACACCGCCCGUCACACCAUGAGAGUUUGUAACACCCGAAGCCGGUGGCGUAACCCUUUUAGGGAGCGAGCCGUCUAAGGUGGGACAAAUGAUUAGGGUG
rnacentral:rRNA from 2 species